rnacentral:rRNA from 1 species
UACGUAGGGUGCAAGCGUUGUCCGGAAUUAUUGGGCGUAAAGAGCUCGUAGGCGGUCUGUUGCGUCGGCUGUGAAAACCCGGGGCUCAACCCCGGGCCUGCAGCCGAUACGGGCAGACUAGAGUUCGGCAGGGGAGACUGGAAUUCCUGGUGUAGCGGUGAAAUGCGCAGAUAUCAGGAGGAACACCGGUGGCGAAGGCGGCACUCUGGGCCGGUACUGACGCUGAGGAGCGAAAGCGUGGGGAGCGAACAGG